CACAUUACACAGGAGGAUCAGAAGGAUUGUUCAAUCUAAAUUCAUCAAUCUAUCAAAGUCGGGGCUCAAAAUGGGUUUGGCUGGUGAGAGACAGUGUCUAUAACAGUGUGAAACAGGGAACAUUCUUAUAGGAUGCUCUUUUUAAAAAGGUUUGUCCAUUGUCUGAAAUAUCUGCUGGUGAUAUAUCAUUUAAUUAAUUGACUUACAUCAGCUGCAAAUGUUUAUUCGAAAGAUUGUCCAUGUUGACAUCCAAACUACAAAUCUCAAAUCCCAAGCUUCAGUGAGAAAGUCUUAUUUCCACAACAAAUGAAUAAAUACAUGCUGUUAUUUAACAAAGAAAUAGAAUAUAGUGAAGCUGGGAAGUGAAGAAAACAUAAAGAAUAAUGGAUCUGGACAUACCACAGUGCUUCUGGGAGAAUCACAAUGAAACCCAAGCCUUCCUGAGUGAAGUCGGAGCUCAUUGGUCCAUGAACAUUGAUGAACCAAAACACUGAGCUAAAAUACAGCAAGCAACAGGAACUGCUGAACACUGAACUAUUCUGAAGUGAUCUAUUAGUUAAAGCAUGAAGUGUGGAGAAGGUAUUGUGGUAAAUUCUGUUAAAUGUCCUAACCCUAGUAGGCAGAGUAAAAAAAAAAAAGAUGAGGUCUUCACUCCAACACAUGCAGCAGAAACAUGGUCUGAAAACUUUCCAACCACAAAACUGCCAUGCAUCCGUUUCACCUUUUAACUACAGAGAUCUCUGACAACCAACUUCAUUUUUCUUCUGCUCCUGACCCCCUUUUACAAAUUUCAUACAUAAAUAUAUUCAGUAUAAAUUCAAUUCUCAAUCAAAUUCAAUUCUAUUCACAGAGCAGUUCAUACCAGUGGGAAUUAUACCGAAUGAGAAGAACAGUUCAACCAACAAUAAUACAUGAAAUUUUGACAAUUAAAAAAUCAUAAAGCAUAAAGUUUUUUCCCUGUAGAAUAUUAACAUAAGUACAGUAUAACUAACUAAUAUUUAAAAUAAAUUAAUAAAUAAAUAAAACCACAAAUUACCAUUAAUUUGGUGAUUGCUUACAUUUUUUUUUCAUUAUUAUUAAUAAAAUCUCUUUUAAAUUCAGAUACAGGAGAUUUAAGUAAAGUCUCCAUUUCCGUUAGGUCUCACUGUUGACUCAGAGAAAGUAAAGAUAACAAUAAGAUUGUUUUAUAGGUUUUUUCUUUUAUGCUACUACAGUGGCUCUAUAAAUACACUGACCACACAUAACCCAGCAUUCGAUUCACCCAACAUUUCCUUUCCGUCUCUCUUCUGAUGCACAAUGGUUGAGUUUGGAGCUCUGCCUUUAUUUCUCUGUGUUAUGGGUUUGUUCUCGGAGUCUCUGUGCUUUGUAACUUUGGAGGUAGAAGUUGGAGAUAAUGUCACUAUUUGGUGUCGACAUGAACUGAUUGUUUCAGGUUACAUACACUGGUUUAAACACACGUGUGGUUCAGCUCCUCUUAUUAUUGGGUGUAAACAGUUUUUUGGAUCAGUUCCAUCACAAAACUGUUUCUUCUUUAAUGAAAGUGAACGCAUGGUGGUAUCUGUUCAGGGCGAGAACACGUCUCUCACCAUCACUGCAGUGAACGUCUCUGAUACAGGACUUUAUUACUGCAGCUCCACUGAUCUGAUGCGAAUUACAUUUCAUGAAACGAACUACUUGAGAGUGAAAGGGGGAAUUAAAACGAAGAUCUCAGACAGAGAAACAGUAGCAGCAGGUUCAUUCUUUUUGACUCUGAUCUUUGUGGUGAACGUGAUGUUUGGCUCAGCAGUUGUGAUUCUUCUCGGUGUCCUGAUCUUCAUCAUACUGAAGCACAAAAACACACAUGGAGGU